rnacentral:lncRNA from 1 species
UUGCCCUUUGUUUGGUUUUGCACACCUAAUUUUGUGAUUUGGGAAAAGUAAUAUAUUUAUUUAUGGGUACCAUGAUAGCGACCGUGAAUUGCGGCUGCCGGCCACCUUUUCCCUAAAUGACAUUUUGAACCUUUCAUAAUCUGCACCGUGAGAGACAAGGGUGGAUUCAGGGGUGUUUUGAGAGGUUCUUAGAAACCCUUUAAUUUGGAAAAAUUAUUGGAAAUCUCGUAUGAUUUUGAAAAAUUAAUAAGAAUCUACCAAAAGAAACACGGUAAAAAUAUUCUUAGAUCCGCCACUGUGAGAGGGUCACGUUGUGUUUGUAAAGAAAAGUGAGAAAGAAAGGGGAAACAAAGUGAAAAAAUAAAGAAAAAAAGAUUUUCCAAUAAUUUUUGCUCCUAACUGUGGGCAGAUUUGAGUAGAAGAUAAUCCAUUAGUCAUUACAAAUAACCUUUUUUUCACAAUCUUUAAUUUGUGUUUUUUUCUUUGAACUUUGAAACAUGAUAUUUGAUUUCUCCAUUCGGUUUAUCAAAAAAAUGGUCAUUGUUUCCUUUGAAUCAUGUGAUCUCUCUCUUCUUAAUGUCUACAAAUUUCUUCUAUCUCUCUUUCAUGCCUGUUCGUCUAGCUAAAAGACCUACACUUCAAGUGUUAUACAACGGUAUAUACGUUAAUUCACAAAGCAGACUCAUCAAAAUUUAUGAAAAACUGUCGGUCUUGUCUCUUUUCUUUGUGGGUCGCUCGGGGUUUAAGCCCAAACUCACUUCAUGAAUCUUAAGGCUGGCUCCGACAAAUGAAUGUGUAUGAGAACCAAUUAUUUGUGAACUAAUCAUUUUGUGACCAGUUCAAAAAGUUGUAACAAAGUCCGUUAGAAAUGAGUCAUUCAAGUCAUUUCCAUUUUCCAUACCUUAAAAACUAAUACACUUUAAUUUUUAUAUACUUAUGAUACUAAUCAGCUUUUAAAUAUAAAAUAGAGUUAAGUACAAUUUUAGUCCCUGGAUUUUACACCCAAUCGCACAUACAACCCUCAUUUGAAAAAAACAACCGUUCCAGUUCCUGUGGUUGUCAAUUGGAAUCAAUCAAGUCCCUCUCACUAACUGGUCGUUUGUAAUAUAGUGAAAAGACUAAAAUACCCCAUAACAUUAUUUACCAUUUCAAUCCCUGAACGUAUAAUUCAUAUAUUCCCUCAUAUUCAAAACACUUCCUAAUCUAGUUACUAACCACCGAUUAUCCUUAACUAAUCUGCAAUGUGAUGAUAUUAACAACAACAAUAGCCUGUAAUAAGACAUGUAACCAUAAUUGAUGUAUGUUUGACUUUUAGCUUUAUGUUCAGUUCAUGGUGUUCAUCUUAUAUUAGCGAAGUUUGAUCAUUUGUUAACGUAACGCUAACUAAUUCUUCGAUUUGAGUGGUAGUGUUUAACUCCUUUAGAAACUUGGCAUGAGAAUAUACCGAACAAUGAUUUUCAAACGGAUUGGUAUCCCAGUCAAAGCUUGAUUUUGGGAGAUCAAAUCUUCAUAUGUGGUGUAUGAGGUUGAUGGUUGAAAAAGGUAACAAUGUUGUAUCGAAUGGGAUUCACCGCAAAUGGUACAAUAUGGUUCCUCAUAAUCAUCCUCAAUAUAGUAGUUGUAGCCUUCUGAGUAGUAAUCCAAUGUAUUAGAAGAUAUCCAGAAGAUUAACGAGCCUCGGGAUCAGAAAACAGAAAAUUAAAAUUUAACAGAAAGAUGACCACGGCCCCGUGCUGAAGUGGCACAGCCCCGUGGGUAAGUCUGUAUCUGGGCGUUUUGAAAAGUUUUUCAGGAAAUUUGCAGCACGGGGGCGUGGCCAAGUGGCACGGCCCCGUGUCAAACCUAUUGUAAAAAUUAAAAAGUUUUGAAAACGGGCGCGCAGUUUUGAAAAAUGUACAGAAUUUGAUUAGGCUACUAAUUUUAAGCUUUCUCAAAAUCCUUGUGUCCCCUGCAACGACGCCAAAAACUUGACGUGUGAGGGUGUGGGUAUAAAUUUUAGAUAUAUUUUAAGUACUUUUUACUUGCGAAUCAAGCUUUAAAUUUAUAAAACACGAUAUAUACUAUCACUCUACACACCUUAGGGCAAGUGCAGCCAUUGCAGACGUAGUAUAGUGAUGACAAGAUACCGAGGUCGUCCAAGGACACAAGAGCUUUUAGUACCGACUUAUCGUUAACAUCUAAUCUAACCAUAUUUUGAUAAAAUGUUUUGAAAGUUUUAAAAGAUAAACUAGAAAAUAAAAAUAUAAAAGAUAAGGUAAACAAAUGGACAAUAAGGAAUCACUUGGUUCCAACUCCUCUUUUAUGUAUCCUUUGAUGAUUUCUGCACUUUGGGCUUUUUAAGAGAUUAUCUUUAAGUUAUAGUAGUAGGCCCC